AGCGAACGCUGGCGGCAGGCCUAACACAUGCAAGUCGAACGAACUCUUCGGAGUUAGUGGCGGACGGGUGAGUAACACGUGGGAACGUGCCUUUAGGUUCGGAAUAACUCAGGGAAACUUGUGCUAAUACCGAAUGUGCCCUUCGGGGGAAAGAUUUAUCGCCUUUAGAGCGGCCCGCGUCUGAUUCGCUAGUUGGUGAGGUAAAGGCUCACCAAGGCGACGAUCAGUAGCUGGUCUGAGAGGAUGAUCAGCCACAUUGGGACUGGGACACGGCCCAAACUCCUACGGGAGGCAGCAGUGGGGGAUCUUGCGCAAUGGGCGAAAGCCUGACGCAGCCAUGCCGCGUGAAUGAUGAAGGUCUUAGGAUUGUAAAAUUCUUUCAACGGGGACGAUAAUGACGGUACCCGGAGAAGAAGCCCCGGCUAACUUCGUG
rnacentral:rRNA from 1 species